CCCUUAGAUGUUCUGGGCCGCACGCGCGCUACACUGAUGCAUUCAACGAGUUUCUUCCUGGUCCGAGAGGAAUGGGUAACCUUUUGAAAGUGCAUCGUGAUAGGGAUAGACUAUUGCAAUUAUUGGUCUUCAACGAGGAAUUCCUAGUAGACGUAGUUCAUCAGACUGCAUCGAUUACGUCCCUGCCCUUUGUACACACCGUCCGUCGCUCCUACCGAUUGAGUGCUCAGGUGAGCCAUUCGGACUUUCAUCAUGCUGGUUUCCAGUUUUGAUGAAGGAAAGUCUUGCGAACCUUAUCAUUUAGAGGAAGGAGAAGUCGUAACA
rnacentral:rRNA from 1 species